rnacentral:rRNA from 1 species
AGUCGAACGAAGCACUUUAUUUGAUUUCCUUCGGGACUGAUUAUUUUGUGACUGAGUGGCGGACGGGUGAGUAACGCGUGGGUAACCUGCCUUGUACAGGGGGAUAACAGUUGGAAACGGCUGCUAAUACCGCAUAAGCGCACAGCAUCGCAUGAUGCAGUGUGAAAAACUCCGGUGGUAUAAGAUGGACCCGCGUUGGAUUAGCUAGUUGGUGAGGUAACGGCCCACCAAGGCGACGAUCCAUAGCCGACCUGAGAGGGUGACCGGCCACAUUGGGACUGAGACACGGCCCAAACUCCUACGGGAGGCAGCAGUGGGGAAUAUUGCACAAUGGGCGAAAGCCUGAUGCAGCGACGCCGCGUGAGCGAAGAAGUAUUUCGGUAUGUAAAGCUCUAUCAGCAGGGAAGAUAAUGACGGUACCUGACUAAGAAGCACCGGCUAAAUACGUGCCAGCAGCCGCGGUAAUACGUAUGGUGCAAGCGUUAUCCGGAUUUACUGGGUGUAAAGGGAGCGCAGGCGGUGCGGCAAGUCUGAUGUGAAAGCCCGGGGCUCAACCCCGGUACUGCAUUGGAAACUGUCGUACUAGAGUGUCGGAGGGGUAAGCGGAAUUCCUAGUGUAGCGGUGAAAUGCGUAGAUAUUAGGAGGAACACCAGUGGCGAAGGCGGCUUACUGGACGAUAACUGACGCUGAGGCUCGAAAGCGUGGGGAGCAAACAGGAUU